AUGCAUGAUAAUAGGUUUAAUCUUAUCGUUUGUUUUCAAAACUCCCAUGUUCUGAAGACUUUCAUAAAAAUCGCCUAUUCACCCCCCUCUAGUCGAUAUAACGCACUUUCAGACAUUCGUUUGGUGUGUCAGCCACCGAACUCGCCUGAUCUUAACAUAUUGGAUCUAGGUUUCUUUGCUGCCUUACAGUCAUUGUUUCAAAAGUUGUUUCCAGGUUAAAUCAAGGACAUAGUCAAGAAGGUAUGCGAGGCAUUUGAGUAGUACCCAGCAGAGAGGUGCAACAGAAUAUUCCUCACACUCCAAUCCUGCAUGUGUGAGGUUUUGAAGGACAAAGGAGGCCAGCACUAUAAGGUGCCGCACAUGAGGAAGCAAGUCCUUCAGGAUCUUGGUAUUCUACCGGUGAAGUUGCCUUGUGCUCGAUCCAUUGUGGAGUCAGCGAGGGCGUUCUUGCGAGAGUAG
rnacentral:rRNA from 1 species